ensembl:ncRNA T06F4.21 ncRNA
UCUGACGACUAGUGAAGGGUGAAAAGAGACCAACAUGAUAAGCUGCUCAUCGUCUAGAACAUUCUGUCGCCUUUUUUUAAUACGUUUCGCCAUUUUUGUUCUUCAAAGAAUUCUUCAUACCGCCAAAGGAAGAGAAAGAAGGGA